rnacentral:rRNA from 1 species
GAUGAACGCUGGCGGCGUGCCUAAUACAUGCAAGUCGAGCGAACAGAUGAGGAGCUUGCUCCUCUGACGUUAGCGGCGGACGGGUGAGUAACACGUGGAUAACCUACCUAUAAGACUGGGAUAACUUCGGGAAACCGGAGCUAAUACCGGAUAAUAUAUUGAACCGCAUGGUUCAAUAGUGAAAGACGGUUUUGCUGUCACUUAUAGAUGGAUCCGCGCCGCAUUAGCUAGUUGGUAAGGUAACGGCUUACCAAGGCAACGAUGCGUAGCCGACCUGAGAGGGUGAUCGGCCACACUGGAACUGAGACACGGUCCAGACUCCUACGGGAGGCAGCAGUAGGGAAUCUUACGCAAUGGGCGAAAGCCUGACGGAGCAACGCCGCGUGAGUGAUGAAGGUCCUCGGAUCGUAAAACUCUGUUAUUAGGGAAGAACAAAUGUGUAAGUAACUAUGCACGUCUUGACGGUACCUAAUCAGAAAGCCACGGCUAACUACGUG